AUUAAAAUAAAAACGCAAAGCAAAAACGGACGUACGCAUAUGCUUUGUUAUAGAUCAAACUGACCCUUUUGCUUUGUGUCGUGCAUCAGAGGAUUGAUUUAUUCAUUGAUUGAUUUCGUCCCAAACCUCCAUCACCAAACUUGGCCGCCACACAUCGAAAAGGGUUAAUGGCUGAUCGAAGUUUGGCCGUUGUGAAACCGGUAUGGAUGAAACAAGCUGAAGAAGCCAAGAUCAAGAGCGAGGCUGAGAAAGACGCUGCUGCAAAAGCCGCUUUUGAAGCAACUUUUAAGGGUUUGGUGAAAAGUCAUGAGAAGAGAGCAUCAAAUUCCGAUAGUGAUUCCGAUGAUUAUGAGGAUUUGGCUCAUAAGCCAAUUGGGCCGGUGGAUCCUUCCAAGUGUACUGCUGCUGGUACUGGAAUUGCUGGAGGAACGGCCUGUGCUGCUUCUUCCUUCGCCGUGGUGACUAAGGAUGCUAAUGAAAGGAAGGUUUCGGUUGGGGGUGCACAGAUUACUGUGAAAGUGACGCCGGGUUUGGGUGUUGGAGGGUCUGAUCAAGAAGGGAUUGUGAAGGAUAUGGGGGAUGGGACGUAUACGGUUACUUAUGUGGUGCCUAAGAGAGGGAAUUAUAUGGUUAAUGUUGAAUGUAAUGGCAGGCCAAUCAAUGGUAGUCCAUUCCCUGUGUUUUUCAGUGCAGGUAAUAGUAAUGGAGGGCUGCUGGGUUUAGCUCCUACAUCUUCAUAUCCAAAUAUGGUUAAUCAAACUAUGCCCAACAUGCCGAAUUACUCUGGCUCCGUCUCAGGGGCUUUCCCAGGAUUGUUGGGAAUGAUUCCAGGAAUUGUUGCUGGAGCUUCUGGAGGUGCUAUUUUGCCAGGAAUUGGGGCCACACUUGGGGAAGUUUGUCGUGACUACCUGAGUGGGCGCUGUGCAAAAGUUGAUUGUAAUUUGAAUCACCCACCUCAUAAUCUGCUAAUGACUGCCUUAGCUGCGACAACUUCAAUGGGAACACUUAGCCAGGCUCCGAUGGCACCUUCUGCUGCUGCAAUGGCCGCUGCUCAGGCAAUAGUUGCUGCCCAAGCCCUUCAAGCUCAUGCAGCUCAGUCAGCAAAAGAUUCUGCGGGCUCACCUGAUAAAGCCAAUAAGGAGGAUGUGUUGAAGAAAACUCUUCAAGUUAGCAAUCUUAGUCCACUUCUCACCGUGGAACAGCUAAAACAACUCUUUGGUUUCUGUGGUACUGUUGUUGAAUGUACAAUAACUGAUUCAAAGCAUUUUGCUUAUAUAGAAUACUCAAAACCUGAAGAGGCAGCUGCUGCUAUGGCAUUAAACAACAUUGAUGUUGGGGGGCGUCCUUUGAAUGUUGAAAUGGCAAAGUCACUUCCACCAAAACCAACUAUGAAUUCUUCACUUACUUCAUCUUCUCUUCCUUUGAUGAUGCAGCAAGCUGUUGCCAUGCAACAGAUGCAAUUCCAGCAAGCACUGAUUAUGCAACAAAAUAUGACUGCCCAGCAGGCUGCUAACCGAGCUGCAACCAUGAAAUCUGCCACAGAUUUAGCGGCAGCACGAGCUUUAGAAAUAAGUAAGAAAUUGAAUCCUGAUGGACUUGAAAUUGAAGAAAAAGAGACGAAACAGAAAUCCAGAUCACCUUCUCCCCCUCCUGAACGAUCACGAUCAAAGUCAAAAUCUCCUAUCAAUUACAGAAGGAGAAAGUCUCGUUCCUACUCACCUCCCCGCUAUUCUAAGGCUCGUCGGUCUAGGUCUCCAUUGAGGUUCCAUCAUCAUUCGAGGUAUGAAAGGGAAUGGAGGUCCUAUAGAGACAGCAGGGAACAUAGUGAUAGGUACAGGCGACGAGAUUCAGAUAGAUUUCUUGAUAACCAUUCAUCUGGUUCAAGAAGAAACAGAAGUAGGAGUGUGAGUCCUCAUGCAAGGAGAUCCCCUGUUUCUCCAAAACGUCAUGGAGGAAGUUCAUCUUAUAGAGGAAGGAAACAGUCUCGUGCUGAUUCUGGUUCUCCAAGCAAUCGCAGAGGAAGUAGGUCUUCUCCGAAGGUUGAUGAAAAGAAAGCAAGAAACAGAAGGCGCUCGAGGUCAAGAUCUUCAGAUGAUAAGCUUAACUUCGUUGUCAAAAAUGAAGAACCCGUGAAUGAGAAGGCCAAACAAAGAGAGCGAAGGCGGUCAAGGUCAGCAUCUGUGGAUGAGGAGAAGCCUCACAGGGGCCGAUCUUCUCCAAGAAAAGUGGAUGAAAGCAGACCCAGGCACAAGAAGCGGUCCAGGUCAAAAUCUGUGGACGAUAAGCAUCACUUGUCUGAUAAAUUUGAUGAAAACAGAAGUAGAAGGUCAAUAUCUUCAGAUGAUAAGCUUAACUCCUCUGACAAAAACGAAGAAAUCUUACACGAAAUGCCCAAACAUAGAGAGCGAAGGAGGUCCAGGUCCGUAUCUGUGGGCGAGAAGCCUCAGAGGAGGCGAUCAUCCCCACGGAAAGUGGAUGAAAGCAGAUCCAGGCAUAAGAAGCGGUCCAGGUCAAAAUCUGUGGACGAUAAGCGACACUUGUCUGGAAGAUCGGAUGAGAACAGAAGUAGAAGAUCAAGACAUGGUGAUAAAAGGCACUCCAGAUCAAGAUCUAUUGAAAAUAGAGACCGGGCUGAUGUCAGAGAGGAUGGACGCAAACAUGCAAAGUCAAAACAUCAUGAUACAAAAUGUAACAGGUCAGAGUCUGAUGAAGGGAAGCAUCAUUCUAAAGGUAAGUCUGGUGAAAAUAGAGAUAAGAAAUCAAAGCAUCGUGAUAGAAGGCGUUCCAGGUCAAUAUCAUCAGAAGGUAAGCAUGACAAAGGAGGCACUUCAUCACGUAGAGACGAGAGCGAUUUUGAGCACAAAAGAUUCAGGUCAAAGUCUCCUAAUGCCAAGCAUCACUGCAGUGAUGAUUAUGAAAAUAAAGAUGAAAGAUCAGAGCAUCAAGAGAAAACCUUAUCUAAAUCAAAAUCAGAAAAUCACCAGCAAUAUGAUGAUGGGAGUGUGCCGUCCCCAAUAAAUUUCAAGGAGUAUGAAUCAAAAGAAAAAACAAAAUUUGGUUCUGGAUCUGCAGGUGAUAAGCCCCAUAUGAGUGAUGGAGAAAAUGGUACAAGUGAAGGAAAUUCAAAACAUCUUGAAAAUGCCACACAGGAACCAAUUUUAAAUGUGAAGGACUUAACAAACAUGAAUGCCAAUGGGAUACUGAUUUCUGAGAAUGAGAACACAAAGUUCAAUGGGUGGACUGAAAAUGCAGGAGCUGAUGAUAACUCAGGGUGGAAAUGCGUGGAAGAAGUCAGAAGUGGGAAAUGUUAAGCAACCUCGCCCUGGAGUGGUGGAUCUCAAUGAUUUCAAAGUUUCUACCUGGCUUUUGACAACAACAUAGCUAUAAGUAUAGAUUUCUGUUAUUUCACCUCAAACGAGGAGUACUUAAAAAAAGAGGAUAAUCAAAUUUCCUUGCUUUUAAAGGCUGAUCAGAGAAGAUGCAUUACUGGAUGCUGAUAUGAUUUAUCGUCACUAGAGCAUAAUCUUACCAGAAAAAGCACUGCACAGAUUAUGGUUUUGUUUAUGGUUGAAGAUUUUUGCACCUGUUAAUGAUUAUGGGAUAAUAGCAUAUUCUAAUUAAGGAUGCAACAUAGACUGUUCCUCUUAGGCAAAGUGCUAUUACCACAGGAUGCUUAGAGAGUAUUUGAUUGGGUCCCAAGAAUAUUCUCUGCUGGCUUAUGAACAUCUUCGAUUGUUUAUUUCUUUUUGCAGGUUGGGUUGGAAAAAGUCAGAUGUAGAAUUCCACAGCUGUUGGUGUGAUUUAAGGUUUCAAGAAAUGACCUGCUUUUGUUAUGAUCAACCAUGCAACACUAUAUCAUGCUUCUUUUACUGGUUGAUUGAUGUUAUAUUCACAUUGAAAUCUAUUGGAGCUUUGAGAUACAGUUUUGCUGGGUUGAUUUUCUCUUGUAUAAAUGAAGGUAUGCAGUCAGAUUCUGAUGCUCUAUGGUUCAGAGCAUGUCUUAUUUUUUUUCCCUCCGAUAAGUGUUGGGAGCAAUGAGAGCUGCUUAACUUUGUAUUAUGUUUCAGUGUGUGCAUUAAUCACUGCAUUUUUUUCUCUUUUUUUUCCUUUUUUUCUUCUUCUUUUUUUCCCCUUUUCCUUUUCUUCUUUUUUCCAAGCAAUUGUCAUGGUUAGGUAAAGCUUCGAUAUAAGGUCAACUGAACCUGGAUGUUGCUGCAAUGAGUUGCGUCAUGUAGUGUUUGAGCAAUUGGCUGACUUAUAUUCUUUAAGUAAAUGCUGAAAUGCAAAUGAUUUCAACAGGUAAUUCUCCCUGAAACUAUUGGGUUGUUAAGCUAUAUAUGUAGGGUCUUCAGUAACACUUGUAUGCAUAGUUGCAGCCUUUAUAUAAUCUCAUCAGCCUUGUAGCUCUUUUAUUUAGUUUUUUUCGUUUUCAUGUUCACAAUGAUGCUUCCAUAUUUCACUUAUUGCAAUCGCAAUUCUGUGCAACUCUAGUGAGCAACUCACUUUUGAGUGUAAAGUUAGCAAUAUCAACUGUUAAUUAACCAAAUUAAAGGUAUAUAUUGUGGGUACAUCAUAACAAUCCGGAGUUGAUUUUCUCACUUUAUACUUUACUCACUUUAGAGGAUCCUUGCCCUAAAAUAUAAGGUUGUUGCCAAUAGUUUUAGCUCUUUUGAUCAAUUUGCUUUGGAGGAUAAAGUAAAGUAAGUGAUCUCAUUUUUCAACCAUAAAUCAACUGUUGAUAAUAUUUUGUAUUUGUAUGUAUUGCACUAUUGCAAAUCCUGAUUGUGUUAAAAUAUCGACAGUUGAUUUUUUUUUCUCAUUAAUGGUUGUACUAUUUUACUUUGUCCUCUAAAGUGAGAGCUCACUUUAGAGGAGCCGGGCGAAGUACGGUGAUGAGAGAUGCUGGAUAACUCUAGGAUUUUUCCUUUCUUGAGGACAUAGACAUUAUGUUUGUGUUUGUGAAUCACAUCUUAAGGUUUCCCGCCUUUUUUUUCUUCCACUCUUCCCACUCUCUUUCCCGGUUUCUGUUUUUCUGGUUAGGUUAUGCAUUGGAUAUGAUGAUCAAAUAAGCAGCUGUGAGUUCUCUUCACGACUUCACCGGAUGAUUCUGUGAAGUCUGUUCUUGGAAGUUCUUUGUGUUAUAUUUAUCUUAUUUAUUUUUUAGGGUCGAACGUCCUAAUAUAAUCUGGUCUCUCCGCCAACUGGUCUAGUCGCUGACCGCUGCCAAAUAACUUGCCAUGAAGUGUUGUUCUGCAUACAUUAUAAUUACGAGUUGAUUUGUUUUUAGUUCAGCUUAGGAUAAGAAAAGAAAGCGAACAAUGUGGUUAAGGGCUCAGAAAUUGGCAGUAUUUUUCUCUUAAACUGUCUAUAUGAAGCUCUAAGCUUUCUAGCACUUGUAAAAUGAUUGGUAGCUUAGGAGUGAUUUGUGUUUAUAUAAAUAGAUUGAAUCUUAGAUACUGUCGAUGUCAUUCCUGAGUUUUUUUUUUUUUGAAAGAUUUGUUUCUGUUUUUAA